rnacentral:rRNA from 1 species
GAUAAACGCUGGCGGCGUGCCUAAUACAUGCAAGUCGAACGAGGAGUCCUUGUAGCAAUACUUGGACUUCCUAGUGGCGAAUGGGUGAGUAACGCGUUGGUGACCUGCCCCGAAGAGAGGAAUAACUCCGGGAAACUGGAGCUAAUACCCCAUGGGCUCCAGGGAGUUAGAGUGCUCUGGAGCAAAGGAGUGAUCCGCUUUGGGAGGGGCCUGCGGCCCAUCAGCUAGUUGGUAGGGUAAUGGCCUACCAAGGCGAUGACGGGUAGGGGACCUGAGAGGGUGGCCCCCCACACUGGCACUGAAACACGGGCCAGACACUUACGGGAGGCAG